CACAGAGCCCUGAAGUACUUUGAAGCAAAAACAAAUUUUAGUGAAAGACACAGAGGAUGCUGACAUCUGAUUUUCUGACCAGAAGCUGAAUAACUGAGCAGAGAGCUGUCAGGCAGAAAAAGGAAGAGAACAUUCACUACAGCCUUAAAGCAGCGAAAGAGACAACAGAAUACACUCAGGACUGACUGAGGUACAGUUAUACCUCACAAGACAUCUUGUGUGUGUGGCAGAUUCACCAGAGACUGCUGCACCAUAUGGAGAGAUCAGACUGAGUCCAAAUGCAAAACAACAGAAUUAGCAAGGCACGGUGCCCAAGUGCAAAACAGCCACUGGCAGUUUGGCAACUAUUUCAGCUGCUAAUUGAACCCCUCUGCAGCAUGGACUGGCUACCCAAAGACAACCUGACUUGUCCUCCAGCAUUAUCCUGAAGGAGCAACUACUUUUUAAAGUAAGUCAUUACUUAAGUACUUACUUCUCUUUUUGGAAUGACUGACACUUAUUGGGAUUUUUGAAGGUAUUCUUUAAACCACCACAUAAACUCCUCAUCUGCAUAAGACUAACAACUGCAGCAAUGUUUAUAAACUUUGCAUUUUCCACAUUUCUUUCAUUUAAACUAAGAUAAUCCCGCAGACAAAAGUAGCAAUGUUUAAGAUAAUAAAUAAACACUAGUGGCAGAAAGGUCUUUAAAAGCCUGAAGUAAUUAUUUAACACCUUUAAAUAAUACAAUACAUUCAGUUCAGCUUCCAAUAGUGCUUGAAUUAAGAGGUCAGCUGACAUAAAAUAAUCUACUGAGACAGCUCCAUCAUAGAUAAAAUUUGGAAUUCUUGGCUGCAGCAGGACUAAAUACUAAGUAGCCCUUGGUGUGUGAUGAUGCCUACAUUUAGAAGGAACAUUUCAAAUCUGUAAGAGUAUGCAGCUCACAAACAAAGUGAUGAAAUAGGCAUAUGAAAAGAGGAAGGAGCCCUAACAUCAUGAUUUUUUACUAUUUUUUGGCAAUAUCCAAAUAAAAUCUCUUUUCUACCCUGGUAAUACCUUAUAAUUGCUAUUAUAUUGGAAAUUUCAACAUGCUUUCUCAGAGCAGUGAUUUAAAAUAAACAGCCUCCAAAAGGAGAGAGAGGAAAAAGAAAAAGCAAUUGAAAACUAGUUUUUUUAAGACUUUUAUGCAGGAGGCUAUUUCAGCUAAGUUACUGAAACACUAUUUAAAUAACAGCCACGUGCUGCCAUUAAUGCUGAUAACCCUUUCUGCAGCUUUUACCUCCCUCUAACCACUCACAGCAGCACGUGACAGCAUAUGAUCAGUGUCAUGACACUGACAUCAGUCACAACUCCAGAUGUCAGAGUAGAGCCCAGGGAUGCUGGCAUGGGCCCACCCCUUUCCAAAUGCAGAAUUAGUGAAAAGGGCCUUACUUAAAGCUAACUAAGAAUGGAAGGCUUUGUGAUGUAGAAUCACAACUUACUUACUUUUCUCACACAUUCUAGGUGCACGUAGGCUUAAGGUUACUUAACUCUAAAUUGCACUCAAGUACUUAAAACCAGAUUUUUUUUCAUACUAAGCUAUACACUUAAUCAGCCUUUCAAGCUAACUGUUCCAGUGCAAUUCAAUUCCCUAAACUCUGCUUUCAAGAAAGGCAGCUCUGUUAAUUUUACCUAGCCAUCCUUUUCUUCCAUUUAACCAGUCCCACCUCAUUCCACACAGUAAAGUUAAACACAACCUUUUAAUGUAUCAUGUCUACACUCAUCUCAUGCCCAGACCUAAGAUAUUCCAGUUUCAUGCAGUCAAACGAAAAAACACAGGAUUAUUUUUAAAUUAACAACUUGCUACAGCCCAUAAAGAAACCAGCUACAGACUUCUUUGUAGUCUAUAUUCACUCAAAAUGUAAACAAACAUCAUUAAUAAUAAAUAUUUUUCUCACAUUAUGUCACAUGGCUCACUAGUAAGAAGUACUAACAAGUCCUCACAGCAAAAGUGCCAAAACAAGACAACUGUUUCCUAUGAAAUGAUUGUGCUGAAAUUACAUUAAGAUCCAGACUAGGAAACCAAGAAAUCAACAGACAUUCAAAAUCUACCUGGUACAAAGGCAAACUGAUAUUGUCAUACAUCUGUUACUUCAAUUCAGCUUUUAUUUCCAGAUACAAAACACCCAAAGAUGACCAAGGGAAUCAGCAAUGAUUUACUUUGUCUAAACAACUCCUUGCUUUUAUUACAGCAUAUUUACACUUCCACUGAAAAAAAACCAAGCGUAAAUGACUUGAGUAAGGAUUCAAGAUAUUUUUAGGUAAGUUGAGAACUGAGACAAACCAACAUUUACCUGACUAUUAUUAAAGUCUCCUCCUCUAAAGGAGUGCAAACCAAAAAUAAUUCCAUAGGUCAGCAGUGUAAUACAACCUUUCACUCUCUUCUGAAAUGAGACUUCACCAUCAUGAACUAUUAAAAGGGAAUGAAUACUAAAACCCCAUUGAAUCUCAA